ACCCAAAGCUCCGUGGCGGUGCUGAACUUUAGGGCAGCCACUAGCCACGGACUUAAGCGGCAAUUGAGCUCCUCAAAGUGGGGCCCUAAAGAAGGAAGCUUGAAUGCCCCUGGGGAUAAGAGGCUUAUUACCAGAGGGACACUCCCAGAUCCUCCCAGCACACCUGUAGACACCUCCUGCACACCCUCGGCGGCCCGGUGACAGCCAUCCACAAGCUGGCGGGUCCAGGCAGCCAGCUCCUGCGGUGACUCCACGCUGAACAGGUGAGUGUCCACACCGUGACGCGUGCCCGUGCGCA
rnacentral:lncRNA from 10 species